rnacentral:rRNA from 1 species
GACGAACGCUGGCGGCGUGCUUAACACAUGCAAGUCGAGCGGUAAGGCCCUUUCGGGGGUACGACGAGCGGCGAACGGGUGAGUAACACGUGGGUGACCUGCCCUCAGCUCUGGGAUAAGCCUGGGAAACGUGGGUCUAAUACUGGAUAUGACUCCACGGUGCAUGUCGUGGGGUGGAAAGCCUUGUGCGGCUGAGGAUGGGCCCGCGGCCUAUCAGCUUGUU